AAGAAUAAGGUGAGUGGAGAAGCUGUCCACGUCGUUUAAUUAAAUCGACCAAUAAAAAACUUCUAUUUUGCCACAUCAGACAAGCCUCACAGUGUGGGCUUCAUCCUAUAAGUUUUGCGUAUGGGCUACAUCGAAUUUUUAAUCUGCUCAAUGAGACCCAAAUCACAAAAUAAACCUGUCGAAGGAUGACGAUUCUCUACGCCUCUACCACUUCGUCUUCUCCAGUUGAAGAGCAAAGAAACUGAAUAGUAAUUGAGCCACUUCUACACAAUCAAUACUUUCGUUUCAAUCAAUCAAUACCUUCUUAAUGAUUUCGUUUCAUCUCUCUGUUUUCCUCCUUCUUUAUAUACUGAUCUUCUUUCCUUCCUCAAAUCUCCAAACAAGCGCAACAGCUGAUGACGAUGAAACUGGAGUUGAGAUUGCCAUGAGGGUGGUUAGAUUCGCCAAGGGCUUGAGCGCUGUGACGAUGUUGAGUUUAGUCCCGAAGGUAUUCUCUUUAGGGAAAAAAUUGCAAGUAGAGAUGAUGAAGCUUUUGCAUCUGUUCAUAACUUCAUCAAAACCAGUGAUGGAUAUUCUACUGAUAACGACAGUUGGAUUUUAUAUCACUCUUGAUGGAGUCAAUCUUCUUGGUCAUGGUGCUCACAAAUAUUUGAACAACGUUGGUUAUUACUUAAAACACUCUUUUUGUUAAUAAAUCUAAUAUACCACUCAACUUUAGUUUAGUUUUUUCUGUAAAGACAAAUGAGGUCUGGUCUACUUAGAGAUCCUGAUAAUUGCCACAAAUAUGGAAUGGGUUAUGUCUCACUCUGCAGGGCCGUAAGUGUUCUUCUCACUUCUUCAAAAAUCACUGUUCUUCUCACUUCUAGAAGACAAUGAUUUGUGACACACUUCUUGAGAAAGACCAGUUCGACAUGAAAAGAGGGCCAUGAAGAGUCUUCUCUGCUUAUGCCGGAGAAGCCACAAAGUCUUAAGAAAAGAAAACAACUAUGUACUCAUGCUUGGUGUGAUCUGAUUCUAUGGAGAGGAGAAGGAGUAUAACUUUCUUAUACUCCAGGAGAGUCACGGUUUUCAGAUCACAGACCCGUUUCUGCAAUGUUUGCAGUAGAAAUUGAUAUGAAGAGUCUGAAAAAAGAUAGAUUCAGGAAAGGUUAUUCUUGUGCAGCCACUCCACAAAGCAUAGUUUUAACUAAGAUUAUUACAGUUCUUUUUUAGACCAAAAAAAAGUUUUUUUCUUUCUUCAUUGUAUAGCUAUAUGAAUAUUUUUCUUGCAUCAGCCAUCAUGAUAUAUAUAUAUAUAUAUUUUUUUUAAUGGUAUCAGAUGAGAUUAGUUUA